GUUCCCGAGCCCAGGCCCGCGCCGAGCCCAGGCACCCACCCACGGCCCUUCCUGGUAUCUGGACCAGACCAGGUGGGUCUCAGCCCCACCUCAAGUGAGACUUCAGGAAGAACUUCCAGAGGAAACUGGAGGAUGGCAGUGGGAUGGACUGUGGGGAGGUCAUUUGCAAACAAGGCAGCUAUGCCUGUGCCCUGGGCCUUCCAAAGUCCACCUGUAGGCUGCAUCUUCCGGAAGGCCCACCCUGUAGCCUGGAAGGCACCUGGCUACAGUGAUCUCUCUGCUGUGCAGGUGUCCCCUCCCCCAGGGCACCUUGCAGGGCCUAGGGUGAUAUGGGGGCUUUCUGGGCCCCUGCCCACCUUAAAACUGAUCAAGGUGGGAGGGUGGGGUGGGAGGCCACAGGGAUACCCCUGCUGCUUGACCUUGAUGGGACCUUGACCCCUUGCUUUCCCCAUAUGCUGUUGGGCAUGACUGCCCACAGGCCUGGUGGGCAUUUGUGAAGGGCUGGAGUCGGGGGUAGGGGGAGCUUAUGGCUGCUGGGCACAGGCGUGGCAGGGCUGUGU
rnacentral:sRNA from 1 species